UACCCUAAUCGGCCUCGUGCGUCCAUCCUUACACGGCUAGCUGCUGCUGAUCAUACUGCCGUUGACUGAACACUGGCUACGUGUCAGAAUAAGAGGAAGCUGUGGAAGCUGUGGAAGCCCUUCAGUGUAUGGUUCCUGUUUGGGCCAAACGGUUGAAACUGAGUCAUCUGGGGAAGGCCCCCCCACCCUGACCCUUUCUCCCAGCACGGCCUCCAAGGCCUUGGGGUUACAGGGUGCCAAGGUAGCGGCGCUGGGCAUCUGUCGGCACCAUCCUUGCCGAUCCGCUGGUGUCUACUGUCCUUGUCUCCAUCUGGCUCCUGUCCCUGCCCUGAUCUCCCAGUCUUCAGGCUUACCGGGUCACUCUGUGCCCUCUUGCCACCCCCUCUCCCCCCGGAAAUCAGCCUAUGGCUCCCUAGGCUACACCACAGCGGGGGGAGAGCAGGGGACCCAUUUGGCUUAGACACACCCAUCCCUGACCUACUAGGGAAGUCCCUGACUCCUUUCCUGGGUUCAGCUCAGAAACACACCCCACGAUGCCCCCCACUUCCGGGUCCUUCAAGCUCACCUGCAGGUUCUUACGUCCCUGCACAGGUCCACCUUACUUGCCUUCCCCCCUCCCCAUAACCUCCUUCCUCCAACCCUGAGUCCCAUGUGGGUUAGGACUGCGUGAACGUUGAGUCUGGGCAGGAAGACUGGCUGGGCGGUCAUGCACCUUUUCCAGACUAACUGGCUGUGUCCUGAGGGUUUCUGGAAACCUCAAAGCCAAGCAUUGAGUUCUUCAUCGUUAUUUCUGAAGGCGACCUGUCCCAAAGCAUGGAGAGAAAGGGCAGUGAGAAACACCUGGGAAAGAGAGAACAGGUCACUCCGCCUCAGGUGCGCCCAUGAUGUCUUCUGUUUAAAACUGUUAAAUAAAAUGGAGCAAUAGACUUGUUAAA